GGGAAGGUGGCUCAGUGGUAGAGUGCUUGCCUUGCAUGCAUGAGGCCCUGGGUUCGAUUCCUCAGAUCCCCA
rfam:Dipodomys ordii contig_50548, whole genome shotgun sequence.